rnacentral:rRNA from 1 species
UGCGAGUCGAACGAUGAUGCCCAGCUUGCUGGGCGGAUUAGUGGCGAACGGGUGAGUAAUACGUGAGUAACCUGCCCUUGACUCUGGGAUAAGCCUGGGAAACUGGGUCUAAUACUGGAUACUACCUCUUACCGCAUGGUGGGUGGUGGAAAGGGUUUUACUGGUUUUGGAUGGGCUCACGGCCUAUCAGCUUGUUGGUGGGGUAAUGGCUCACCAAGGCGACGACGGGUAGCCGGCCUGAGAGGGUGACCGGCCACACUGGGACUGAGACACGGCCCAGACUCCUACGGGAGGCAGCAGUGGGGAAUAUUGCACAAUGGGCGGAAGCCUGAUGCAGCGACGCCGCGUGAGGGAUGACGGCCUUCGGGUUGUAAACCUCUUUCAGUAGGGAAGAAGCGAGAGUGACGGUACCUGCAGAAGAAGCGCCGGCUAACUACGUGCCAGCAGCCGCGGUAAUACGUAGGGCGCAAGCGUUGUCCGGAAUUAUUGGGCGUAAAGAGCUCGUAGGCGGUUUGUCGCGUCUGCUGUGAAAGCCCGGGGCUCAACCCCGGGUCUGCAGUGGGUACGGGCAGACUAGAGUGCAGUAGGGGAGACUGGAAUUCCUGGUGUAGCGGUGAAAUGCGCAGAUAUCAGGAGGAACACCGAUGGCGAAGGCAGGUCUCUGGGCUGUUACUGACGCUGAGGAGCGAAAGCAUGGGGAGCGAACAGGAUUAGAUACCCUGGUAGUCCAUGCCGUAAACGUUGGGCACUAGGUGUG